CAGCCGCCGCGGUAAUACUGAGGGUGCGAGCGUUAAUCGGAUUUACUGGGCGUAAAGCGUGCGUAGGCGGCUUUUUAAGUCGGAUGUGAAAUCCCUGAGCUUAACUUAGGAAUUGCAUUCGAUACUGGGAAGCUAGAGUAUGGGAGAGGAUGGUAGAAUUCCAGGUGUAGCGGUGAAAUGCGUAGAGAUCUGGAGGAAUACCGAUGGCGAAGGCAGCCAUCUGGCCUAAUACUGACGCUGAGGUACGAAAGCAUGGGGAGCAAACAGGAUUAGAUACCCCAGUAGUCCCUGUCUCUUAUAC
rnacentral:rRNA from 1 species